rfam:Basidiobolus meristosporus CBS 931.73 K493scaffold_980, whole genome shotgun sequence.
GGGGGGUUGGCGCAACGGUAGCGCGUUCGCCUCCAGAGCGAAAGGUUGCGUGUUCAAAUCACGCACUCCUCA